UACAGAGGUGCCAAGCGCUAGGCGGAAUCACUGGGCUUAAAGCGCGUGUAGGCGGGUCGUUAAGUGUCCGAGUGAAAUCCCACGGCUCAACCGUGGAACUGCCGGGCAUACUGGCGAUCUUGAGGCAUUCAGGGGCGAGCGGAACAAAUGGUGGAGCGGUGAAAUGCGUAGAUAUCAUUUGGAACGCCAAUGGUGAAAACAGCUCGCUGGGAAUGAUCUGACGCUGAGACGCGAAAGCCAGGGGAGCGAACGGG
rnacentral:rRNA from 1 species